GAGUCCCUAGUUGAGCCGACACCAGAGGGGGGCGCAGCCGGGGUGCGCGUGGGAACGUCGCCAAACCAAGGCAGCUUGUGCCGCGGGGGCGGUAGGCGGCUGGAAACUGGGGUACCUCUGAGGCACCCCCGCUCUCAACAGCUGCAGUCUCCACACAACAGGCAGCGCUGGCCGUCGGAAGCCCUGGGGAGCCCGGCUCCAGUCACCCCCCCGGGGCGUCCCAAGCUCCCUCAUCUGCGCCCUCCGGCUGGAACAAAGGAGAGGGGGCGCUCGGCAUCGCCCCGGCUCAUCUGGCCAAAGCCAGGAGAACAAGGCCGAGGGUCCCCAAGGGCAGGUGCGGUAGCUGUGACCCCUCUGUGUGCUCUCCAAUGACAAGUGGAAGCCUCCUGUGGGCAGGACCCAGGCUGUGUUCAUUUAUGAAUCCCCAGUAGCCAGAACAGGACUGGCAUACACAGGGGAGGAAACCCAAGUGCGAAGAGAGGAAGAAACUGCAGAGUUCAUGCAGCCAGGAGAAGGCAGAGCUCAGAAGGUUCUCCAGUCUCUGUAAAUGAGGGCCAUUGAUGCUGUCCGAGGUGUGGAAAGCUUCAUGGGACCCUCUCUGCCCAUUUCACUGAUGAAGAAACUGAAGGUCAGAGAGGUGAAGGAUUGGCCCGUGGGAACACAGCUGGAUGCAGUGGACUCAGACCUGUCCUGGGACGCCACAGCUGGGUCUUUCAUCCCACUGACCCCUCGCCUACAGAAGGAAGAGGCUCCUUAGGCCCAGAGCAAGGAGGAUCACACUGCCUUACGAGCUUUAUAAUUGGUAUUGGUGUCCAGGAGAACAAAUUCUUCCACUUUCUUCUUCUUUUUUUAAAAAAAUGUCCUUUUCAAAAAAUAGCUAUCCUUCACCC